AGUGAACGCUGGCGGUAGGCCUAACACAUGCAAGUCGAACGGCAGCACAGUAAGAGCUUGCUCUUACGGGUGGCGAGUGGCGGACGGGUGAGGAAUACAUCGGCAUCUACUUUUUCGUGGGGGAUAACGUAGGGAAACUUACGCUAAUACCGCAUACGACCUACGGGUGAAAGCAGGGGAUCUUCGGACCUUGCGCGAUUGAAUGAGCCGAUGUCGGAUUAGCUAGUUGGCGGGGUAAAGGCCCACCAAGGCGACGAUCCGUAGCUGGUCUGAGAGGAUGAUCAGCCACACUGGAACUGAGACACGGUCCAGACUCCUACAGGAGGCAGCAGUGGGGAAUAUUGGACAAUGGGCGCAAGCCUGAUCCAGCCAUACCGCGUGGGUGAAGAAGGCCUUCGGGUUGUAAAGCCCUUUUGUUGGGAAAGAAAAGCAGCAGGUUAAUACCCCGCUGUUCUGACGGUACCCAAAGAAUAAGCACCGGCUAACUUCGUG
rnacentral:rRNA from 1 species